rnacentral:rRNA from 1 species
AAAAACAUGGCCUUUUGUUAAAAAUUUAAGGUCUAGCCUGCUCGCUGAGGAGUUAAAGGGCCGCGGUAUUUUGACCGUGCUAAGGUAGCAUAAUCAUUAGUUUCUUAAUUAGAAGCUGGAAUGAAUGGUUGGAUGAAAAAAUUACUGUUUCAAAUUAAUUGAUAUUUAAUUUUAUCUUUAAGUAAAAAAGCUUAAAUUUUUUUAAAAGACGAGAAGACCCUAUAGAGUUUUAUAAAAUAGAUAUAAUUAAAAUUUUUAGAAAUAUUAAAUUUAAUUUUAAAUUUUAUUUGAUUGGGGUGAUUAAAAAAUUUAAUAAACUUUUUUUUAUUAUAACAUUAAUAUAUGAUUUUUUGAUCCAUUAUUUAUGAUUAAAAGAUUAAAUUACCUUAGGGAUAACAGCGUUAUUUUAUUGGAGAGUUCAAAUCGAUAAUAAAGUUUGCGACCUCGAUGUUGGAUUAAAAUUAAUUUUUGGUGAAGAAGCUAAAAAUAUUAGGUCUGUCGACCCUAAUUU